rfam:Anaerolineae bacterium SG8_19 WOR_8-12_7332, whole genome shotgun sequence.
AAGACUCUGGCACAUUCACCAAAGACAGUUGGUGCCGGAUUGGCGACUUUAAGUUGUCUUUUCUGGCUUAAUCAUGCCCGCCGAGGUGAUGAUCACAGACGAGAUAAACGAUGUGUAUUAUUGGCCAGUGAGGCCUUUAGGACACAUCCUUAUGCUGUAAUCAUAAUCCCUCAUGCUGACUGGUGUGAGGGUUUUUUUAUGAAGGA